AGAGUAUUCCAAAAUAUGAAUGAGACACGGUCCCUAGAAAGAGACUUUACGUACCAUACUCUCACACGGUCCUUGCAACGUGCGCGCAGGAAACUUAACCGUGACGGGUGUUCUGGCCGCACUCGCCCCCGGAGGACACCUCCACAGCUCCAACCACCCACACCCACUCAACUUUGUUCGCGGAGGCAUUGAGGCUGAGGGACAGAGUCCUACGGCAGGGGUGUCCGCCCCGCCCGCCACCUCUGGCGAGUCUCAGCGGCCGCUCACGCCGCAGGCAGCAAAAAAGGUGCAGGAGGACCGAGAAGGAGUGUCAAGCUUGGGACCCUGGGGAAAUAUGAGGUCUCCCGGUAGAGCCACGAGACCGGAGAGGGCGGCCGCGAAGAGCCCCCGCUCCUCCUCGGUGGACAGGGUGCCUCAAGGUGCCGGGCCAGACCCGGCGCCGAGGUGCGGCCAACUCGCCGCCUCGGCCCGACGCCAGACGCCCCUCCAGCGCCAAGGCGCCGACCCGGUCCCGAGACCCCGCGGCGGGCUAAGCCGGAAGUCCCGCCCCUACGUCGACGUCACCGACGCCGCGCGCCCGCCACGGCCGGAGCGGUUAGAGGGAGGAGGCAGACCAACCGCCCCGGGAGCCGAGCUGUCUGCAGCGGGAACGGCGGUCAGAGUGGGGCUAGGGUGGCCACAGAAAUUCUCCGGAGCCCAAGGGAAGGGCAGGCCAAGCGCCGGGGCGCUUGUUUCUAGGAACCAGAGUGACGCGCGUCGUUGGAGCGGGAAGCCGGGCCUCCUGGCGUCCGCCCGUUGCGGCGUCUUUGGGGUGGUUCUUCCGCGCGCGCCUUUCGUUACUCUGCCCGCUCUUUCUGGGCUUCCUGACGGCAGGGAUGGGAGCCCUGCCGCCACUCUGCCCGCCAAGCCCGCCUGCUGUCCUGCCUGCGUGCAUGUUUGCGAGCUCAAGAAGUCGUCUGCCCACAACAUCUGCGGUGGGGCAUCACCCUCGAGCUGGGAGUGGGCCCAGCGGGCCUCGAGAGAACUCUCAGAUGUUACUUACUACUGCUUAGUCUACAGGACCUCCACUUUCAAAGAAGGGUCUUCCUGA
rnacentral:lncRNA from 1 species